UGUUGCGGUUAAAAAGCUCGUAGUUGGAUUUCUGUCGGUGAGUUACAGUCCGCCCUCAGCGGUUGGUAUUUGUGACGCCACCGGCAUCUUCCUGGGGACUGUGUCUGCUCUUUGUUGAGUGGCGCAUGAUCCAGGACUUUUACUUUGAAGAAAUGAGAGUGUUUCAAGCAGGCAUGCGCCGUGAAUACGUUAGCAUGGAAUAAUAGCAUCGGACCUCGAUCCAAAGCUGUUGGUUUCUUGGACUGAGGUAAAGGUGAAUAGGGAUUGUUGGGGGCAUUCGUAUUUAACUGUCAGAGGUGAAAUUCUUGGAUUUGUUGAAGACGGACUACUGCGAAAGCAUCUGCCAAAGAUGUUCUCAUUGAUC
rnacentral:rRNA from 1 species